AUGGGAAACUAUUGCAUAAUGCUAAACAGGGAAAUGACAUUUUACACUUUCAUGUGGGUCUAUAUUUGAGAGAAAAAUCUGGUCCCACUGAGGAGGUUGGCCUGGAAGGAGACAAGUUCAGAUGAAAAUGGUCAAAAGGAAGAAAUUAAUCCUAUCAUGUGGAAGGACAGCAGCACGUCUGUGAACAAAAGGAAGAAGAUCCAAACAAAGAGAGAGUGACAAAUGUCUAUGGGCCUGAUGAACGGUGGCCACUAAAAAUAUGAGAGAUGAGCUUUGUAACAUUUCACUGGAAUCAGAAUCAUGCCAUGUCUUCCAUAUGUUUUGUUUAGCUGGUUUCUUUGAUGCAAGUAAAAAAAAUGGAUACAUUUCAUUUACAAGGUCAGCCUUAGCAAUAUUAUAUGCGCUUCGUAAUUGCACUGUAAUUACAUUAAGAGGCAGAGGCAAUUUUCUUCGAGUGUGGCCAACCACUCAGAAGAUUGGUAUAGGAAAGCAAUAGGGCACAAUUAGUCAAUGUCAAACCAUAGAGUUUUCAGAUUUCUAAUGCUCAAGGGACACAAUAAGUUUUUAAACUCUAAAGUCACCAAGAAUUUAAUAUUAUUAAUUCUGUGAUGCUAAUAUUAAUAAUAUUGAAUUUAUCCUCAUGUGGCUCAGAGAUGUGUUAUUUUUCAGGGAAAGUAAUUCUAGUAAUGGUCCCCCUUUCAUUUUCAUAACACUUCUCACUUCACUUCAUUCUGUUUUCUUCCCAAGUCACAGUCAGCCUGUGAAUUAAGAAUAGAUCAUGAUAUCUUUAUUUCCAAAUAUGAAAACAGAGUCCUGGGAGAGUUGUUUAGUGAUUAGCUGAAAGUUACCACUUAUCGUGAAUGGUGACUUAGCGUCUGGAUUGCAGCCAUUCCACAGUGAAUGGAGACAAAUCAAGACAUGCAGAGUGGGACUUGAGGGAAAAUGUGAGGACCAUGAUGACACUGGAGAGGUGACUGUCACUUUGAUUGGACCAAGUGGACUGGAUGAGGUAAACAGUCAGACUAAUGAUUGACCUUGGCUCAGGCCAAGGGUGAAAAUGUACAGGAAGUUCGUUUUAUAGAGAGUUACAUUUGGAAAUAACUUUAAGAGGCAUUCUGAUAUGCCCUCUUUUUAAUUUUAUUUUAUUUUUUAUUUUUAACUACAAGGAUGCCAUGGCCUAGAGAAUUCUGAGCUGGGUAACAGGCAAAUUCUUCCCCAAUAGCCCUGUGACUCCUAGCCUACUACUCCCUCCACUUCUCUAAGUCACAAGUUGGAGUCCUCAAGAGAAGGAACAUGAACCUGGGGGAGAAGCAAGUACGGAGAGACAGGUGAUGUGGUUUAGAGGCUCCUCACCUGGCAAAAUUCAGAGACUAGGGAAGUGUCACUUCCUUAGUUCCAAGGGAACAAUUGGUCUAGUCAAGUACUAUGUGAGGGGUUCUAAAAGGAGGUAUAAGAGAUUCAAAGCCAGAAGGAGGAGCUCUCCAAGUGUUACCUGCUACAGACAUGUCCUGAUGAAUUAUGAAGCUGGCAUUGGGACAUACCCUACAUUCUCUGCAAAGAUACUGAAAUAUAUGGAAAUUUUCUGUAGUGUUGGUAUAAUUUGUCUUGAUUCUGGGAGAGGAAGUUGAAUUUUGAAAAUUGCAUAUACUUUUGGGGGUUGAGGGUAGAGCAGGAAUGCAACUUCAGUCUGAUUUAUUUCCUUUAGAGCAAGAAACAAAUAGCCUUGUUUAUUAUUAGUCAUAGUUAUUACACUAUUCAUAAUCUGUUUUCCCAUAAGUAGAGUACUGCAAUGAUGAAUGACAACAUAUAUAUAGAACAAAAUGAAUUUAUUGCAGGAUGUAUUUCCAGUGAC